ACGGAGGGUGCGAGCGUUAAUCGGAAUCACUGGGCGUAAAGCGCACGUAGGCGGUGUCGUAAGUCGGAUGUGAAAGCCCUCGGCUCAACCGGGGAACUGCAUUCGAUACUGCGAUGCUUGAGUGCCGGAGAGGGUGGCGGAAUUCCAGGUGUAGGAGUGAAAUCCGUGGAUAUCUGGGGGAAGACCAGGGGCGAAGGCGACCAACCAGCCGGGAACUGACGCUGAGGUGCGAAAGCUUGUGGAUCAAACAG
rnacentral:rRNA from 1 species